rnacentral:rRNA from 1 species
AAUUGGAGGGCAAGUCUGGUGCCAGCAGCCGCGGUAAUUCCAGCUCCAAUAGCGUAUAUUAAAGUUGUUGCAGUUAAAAAGCUCGUAGUUGAAUUUCGGGAUCAAUAUUUCGGUCAUGCCGUUGGUAUGCACUGUUAUCAUUGAUUUCUCACCUUCUAAAGAACCGUAAUGCCAUUAAUUUGGUGUUACGGGGAAUUAGGACUGUUACCUUGAAAAAAUUAGAGUGUUUAAAGCAGGCUCACGCUUGAAUACAUUAGCAUGGAAUAAUGAAAUAGGACAUCCGAUUCUAUUUUGUUGGUUUCUAGGAUCGAUGUAAUGAUUAAUAGGGAUAGUUGGGGGCAUCAGUAUUCAAUUGUCAGAGGUGAAAUUCUUGGAUUUAUUGAAGACUAACUACUGCGAAAGCAUUUGCCAAGGAUGUUUUCAUUAAUCAAGAACGAAAGUUAGGGGAUCGAAGACGAUCAGAUACCGUCGUAGUCUUAACCAUAAACUAUGCCGACUAGGGAUCGGAUGAUGUUAAUUUUUUAAUGACUCAUUCGGCGCCUUACGGGAAACCAAAGUGU